CAAGCUGCCCUUUGUUAUUUAUUCAGGGAAUUAAACUAGGUUAAGAGAAUAACAUAAGCAAUAACAUUUUAUCGACUCUGUUUUUAGGAGCAAUUGAUCGGAACAUUCCCAUCGCGGAGACCUGUUCUGGAAAAAUCUGGUAAUUUUGUGACCUCUCAUUCAUUUUAAAUUUAACGCAUUACCUUAAUUGGUUUUUGGCAUCGAUUAUGAUGUGGUGAUAGAAUUAAAAAGGUAAAACAAAAAUACCUGCGUAGAUCUGCGUAGAUAUAAUUGUAGAUCUGCGUUGGUUUAAUUCCAAUUUUAAUAUAAAUCUGCGUAAAAAGGUGACCUCACAGCCAUUUUCUUAUAGAUCUGCGUAGAUUUUAUUCCUUUUGUUAUGAAUUUUUUUUCAGAAGUGAAUUUUUCUUCAUUUUAUUAUGGAUAUACAAUUAUAUAUUACAUUUUUUCGAAUAUGAAAAAUAACUUACAAUUCCGAUUCGAAAAGUUUGGAAUCUAAAAACCUUUUUUCCGAUUUCCGAAGCUUCACAAAUAUUAAAUUUUGGAAAUCAGGUCACCCUUAUAAAUUUUUGAAUUGGUUUUUGAAAUAUUUUAUGUUUUCCGAAAAACAAUUAGCCUAGAUAUUAUAAGCAAAUUUUAAAUUGAGUUUAAAAGGUAAUUGGACAAUUAAUCAAUUAUUAAGAAUUGGAAAUCUAGAUUAAAAGUAAAAUUCGUUAUAUAUAAUAUUAUUAAUUUUAUACAUUUAUUUUUGGGGAAAAAUAGAUUUUUCUAAGUUAUUUUUGGAUUUUAAAAAAAAUGAAUGUUCUGGAAUAUUUAUUUAUAAUCCAAGCACUUUAAAAAAAAAAAUAGAAAUUGGAAUUUUGGAGAACGUAUCGGAAAAUGGUGUUCCAAAUUUAGGAAUUUUCGGAUCGAACUGGAGGAAUUAAAAAAGUCAGACGCGUUUGUAAGUCCAGUUCUUUCAGUUAUGAAUAUCACAACAUGUUUGAAACUGCUUCACAUUGCUUGUCUUGUGCAGACGAUAUGGUUUCUUUUGGAAAGUAGUUGAAUAUUCAUGCUCAAAUAGCUUUAGAAGUGUAGAUUUAGCAUUUUCGAAUUGUUUAUAGUGUCAAAAUAAUACUCGUAGCAAUGCUAAAAAAUGUUUAUUAUUCAUGUAGUAUAUCUAUCUCUAUGUCUAUACUUUAAGUGUCAGGAAUUAAAACCAUUAUACUUUUGAUAAAUACAAUUUAAAUUUUUUUUUUUAUGAGAUUUGUGUAUAUCGAUAAAUGUUUUAUCUUGACUAUGUAAUCAUGAUUUUAAUUUUCAAUUAUUAUUCAUUUUACAGUUUUGUAGCCAUGACUGGUUCAAUAAGAGUUGAACUCGGGAAGAGCAGAAGAAAAUAUAUAACAAAUAGGUUUGGCAAACAAAUAAGAAGAAAGAAGUCUGGAAUAUAUCUUAUUUUAAGAUUGUUUUGGCUCAACCAACAAAAGAUAUCAAGGACAAGAAUUCUCAGUCAAUUAUAAAAAAACCUCCCGCACCUCAAGCAUUGGCAACGGGCCCCAUUGGGAACUCGCAAGGACCCGCCCGCAAAUGUUGCGCAUAAAUCAGUUCUCACCCUGAGAAAUAAAUCCAUCACAUUUAAAUGUGGGAUCGCUGCUAUGGCCAUCUCCAUUCUAAUCCCUAGAUUCACAUCAUCCGGUAAAAGUUGCAAACAAAAGAGUAUAAAACAAAAAUUAGAAUGAAAUCUUGAAGAUGGACAGUGAAUAAACCAACAAUAUGGACAUAACAAGAGCAUUCAGAUCGGCUGAUAAAAGUUCACACGAAAAAAUAUAAAGUAAAAGAAAAUCACAAAAAAUAAAAUCCAAAGGAAAUCUUGGAGAUUGAUAGUGAAAAAGUUCAUACCAACAACAUGGGGAUAUCACAAGAGCAUCCACAUCAUCCGGUAAAAGUUGAAAACAAAAAUUUUGCAACCAUUUUUAUUUUAAGAUAAAUAAAUUUUGUAUGAAAAUUUGUGAAUUGAAUUUUCUCAUAGUUUUAUUAUGCAUGACAAAUGCUAUAAACUCCUUGUGUAAUUUGUGUUUCGGCCUAAUGAUCUUAAAAAGAUG
rnacentral:lncRNA from 1 species